GACGAACGCUGGCGGCGUGCUUAACACAUGCAAGUCGAACGCUGAAGCUCAGCUUUUGUUGGGUGGAUGAGUGGCGAACGGGUGAGUAACACGUGAGUAACCUGCCCCCUUCUUUGGGAUAACGCCCGGAAACGGGUGCUAAUACUGGAUAUUCACUGGUCUUCGCAUGGGGGUUGGUGGAAAGGGUUUUUCUGGUGGGGGAUGGGCUCGCGGCCUAUCAGCUUGUUGGUGGGGUGAUGGCCUACCAAGGCUUUGACGGGUAGCCGGCCUGAGAGGGUGACCGGUCACAUUGGGACUGAGAUACGGCCCAGACUCCUACGGGAGGCAGCAGUGGGGAAUAUUGCACAAUGGGCGCAAGCCUGAUGCAGCGACGCCGCGUGAGGGAUGGAGGCCUUCGGGUUGUGAACCUCUUUCGCUCAUGGUCAAGCCGCAACAAUGGUUGUGGUGAGG
rnacentral:rRNA from 1 species